AGUGAACGCUGGCGGUAGGCCUAACACAUGCAAGUCGAACGGCAGCACAGUAAGAGCUUGCUCUUACGGGUGGCGAGUGGCGGACGGGUGAGGAAUACAUCGGAAUCUACUUUUUCGUGGGGGAUAACGUAGGGAAACUUACGCUAAUACCGCAUACGACCUACGGGUGAAAGCAGGGGAUCUUCGGACCUUGCGCGAUUGAAUGAGCCGAUGUCGGAUUAGCUAGUUGGCGGGGUAAAGGCCCACCAAGGCGACGAUCCGUAGCUGGUCUGAGAGGAUGAUCGGCCACACUGGAACUGAGACAGGGUCCAGACUACUACGGGAGGGAGCAGUGGGGAAUAUUGGACAAUGGGCGCAAGCCUGAUCCAGCCAUACCGCGUGGGUGAAGAAGGCCUUCGGGUUGUAAAGACCUUUUGUUGGGAAAGAAAAGCAGCAGGUUAAUACCACGCUGUUCUGACGGUACCCAAAGAAUAAGCACCGGCUAACUUCGUG
rnacentral:rRNA from 1 species